rnacentral:lncRNA from 1 species
ACACGUUCACAAAUGCCCACAUGCAUAUGCCACACGUAACAUGUGUGCACCCCUUCACACACACCUGUACAAAUGGACAUGUGCAUGCGGCAUUGACACUUCAUAAAUUUAAUCCUCAGAGAGUUUUCUUGAUGUGAACAAAAUAACUAUAAAUUAGCCUUUAAACCCCAGCUAAUUCCCAAAGUAAAUGAUAUUUUAAUUUCUAUUUAAAAUAAUAAUGAGAAUGUUUAAUUUUGUGCUUUAACAGUGUCUUAUCUAUCAACUAAUAUUGAAGCCAAAGUAGAAACUUGAUCACUAGUAUAUAUUUGAAGUUAAUGAAACUGUUAAAUACAAGCUACAAGCUUUUUUUUUUUUUUUCUUUUUCUUUUUGGACAGGGUCUACUAUGUAGCCCUGGUUGGCUCGGAACUCUCUGUAUAGACCAGGCUGGCCUUGACUUCACAGAUACCCUCCUGAUUAUACCUCUCAUGUGCUGGGAUUAAAGGUGUGCAUUUAUGUUUUUAAAUGCAUAGUUAUAAAAAGCAGUUAGUUGAACACUUUAUGUCUAAAGCAAACACUGUAAAGAGAAUAUAACUGAUGUCCAAGGCCAGACAGCACUUCAUGGACAGAAGGGAUGACCUGCAUCCUUGUCUGGGGCACAGCUCAGGUAAAGCAGCAGCCACAAGGCUUGGGUUUGAACCCUGGCAUUGCCACGUUUCCCUCAAAACAAGACUUCUGUGCUCAUGGGACCACAUAUAGAAAAAUAUGUAAAUAUUAAUCGUAGCCAAAAUACAAAACCAAGAAGCUUCUAGGGCCUGGGUGAUGGGGGAUGGGCACGGUGUCCCCGUGCGUGCAGCUUCCGAGAGAGUCAAGCACGGUCUGUGACUUCAGAUGCUGCAGCUCCUUGUGUGAGAGACACAAGUUUUAGUUUUCCUGAAUAUAUUCCAGUUUUACCAAGACUUUGUGAUCCUCUGAAAUCUGUGUCUUUUUAGUUACUUAUUAUGUUUUAUUGUAUUUUUUUAGCUCCUUAGUGAUUCUUGUGGUUUCUCUUUUUAUAAAUGUAUGUAUUAAGCACAAAGGUUAUUUUAGCUAAGACUAUAGUCAUCUUGUGUGGCCUUUAAGUUUUUGUUACAAUGUCAGACAACCCUUUAAACUGUAAUCUACUGUAAUAAUUUUGGACGAAAUAGAAGGUAAUUGUUGUAGGGUUUGGUGACUUGUAGCUGAGCUUAGCUCCUGCAGCUCUCCCCAUCUUGCUGUGGCCAGAGCUGAGGAGGGAGCACAUUCUGAUUGUGUGGACUCUGUUGGAUUGAGCCCUUUAGGGAGUCAGUGGAACACUGACCUGUAAAUGUCACAGAGUCCUGGAGUAUUAGAGUUUAUCUUCCUUGCUCUUACUGUAAUACUGACUUACUCUAAAUAAUUUAUUUAUUUUGCUGAUGAUUCUUAACGGUCAUACAAGAUUUAAUGCAGUCUUCUUUGCUUUCCUACCUAGUUUUGUUUUUCCGUGUUUGGAAAUGUUUUACUAACACUUUAACCCUUGCCUGUCUACCCACUGAGGUAGUCUUGCAUUGUGUAAUCCGUUCUUCCCUCCGACAUUGGUUCUUGUACCGUACUCAGUGAUAUUAUUAACUCUGUGAUAAAUACCACUGUACAUUUGCAUUUUGCCUUUUCAUGCCGUGUGCUGUUUCCUUAGAAUUAAUUUGGAAGGGAUGAAAAAGAAUGGGUACAGGAUCCUUUCCUUUACCGAAACGUUACUAAAUCCCUCAUGUUAAGUUUUGUGUUGGUCAGUCUGGUCUCCUGUUACCCUCAGUGAUUGUAUCUCGCUCUGAAUUUCAGAGUCUAGUGUGUCUUUAAUAGCACUGGAAAGAUGUUCUCAGUGUAUCCUGGUGAUAAGUUGUACAUGAGGGCUCUUGGCGGGUGAAGCACAGCUUGAUAAGGACUGGACAUGUGAGGAGAGAAGCAGGCUCCCCCAGCUUCUGUGGCUUAAACCUGCCGCCAUGUGUAUUCCUAGAUCGAGCUAAAGCCACUACAUUAUUACAGCAUGCUGUCCUGUUUUCCUGUUUUCUCUGAAGGAACUGAGGGUUUGAUGGUAAAACACUGUUGAGAAUUCACAGGGUGGACUGUGAAACCAGUGCCCAUCUCCCCUCCGCGAUGCACUCUGAAGAUGCCGCUUCAGCUCUGGGAAUUGUCUUCCUCGUUUAUGGCUUUUGCAAUCCUUGUUUGUGGCUUGUUUUUGUAAUUAGCAAGGAAUGGCUAGGGACUGACAUAUUUUUAAGAUGUGGGUUCCAUUGCCUGCAGCACAAAUGAAAAAUGUACUUAAGAUUCACAGUCACAACACCAAGCGUGCUUUCCUGGCUGUGUGUAUGCUGACUGUAUGAUCCUGAUGCCGUAGGGGUGCGUUCUCCUCAGUCAUGCAGCGGGACAGCCGUGUUCACUCAGUGUGUCUAUCUUCUGUAUUUUAUGCCCAUGUAUCAUUUGAACUUUGAUCACUCAUCAUAGGUGAUAUCAAUGAUAUUUAUUAGUAUUUGUUAUAAAACUGUAUUUGUUUCUAAUGUGUAUUGACUAAUUUAAGUCAGUAAUUUUAAGAUACUUGAAAAAGAAAAUAAAUAUUUUAUUGGCU